ensembl:piRNA 21ur-917 ncRNA
UGUUUUGUUCAGAAAUGCGUG